rnacentral:rRNA from 1 species
CGUAGGUGGCAAGCGUUGUCCGGAAUUAUUGGGCGUAAAGCGCGCGCAGGCGGUCCUUUAAGUCUGAUGUGAAAGCCCACGGCUCAACCGUGAGGGUCAUUGGAAACUGGGGGACUUGAGUACAGAAGAGAAGAGUGGAAUUCCACGUGUAGCGGUGAAAUGCGUAGAGAUGUGGAGGAACACCAGUGGCGAAGGCGACUCUUUGGUCUGUAACUGACGCUGAGGCGCGAAAGCGUGGGGAGCAAACAGGAUUAGAUACCCUGGUAGUCCACGCUGUAAACGAUGAGUGCUAAGUGUUAGAGGGUUUCCGCCCUUUAGUGCUGCAGCUAACGCAUUAAGCACUCCGCCUGGGGAGUACGGCCGCAAGGCUA